UACCUGGUUCAUCCUGCCAGUAGUUAUAUGUUUGUCUCAAAGAUUAAGCCAUGCAUGUGUAAGUAUGAACAAAUUCAGACUCUGAAACUGCAAAAGGCUCAUUAAAUCAGUUAUAGUUUGUUUGAUGGAAUCUACUACUCGGAUAACCGUAGUAAUUCAAGAGAUAAUAUGUGCAACAAACCCUGACUUCUGGAAGGGAUGCAAUUAUUAAAUAAAGGGUCGACGCGGGCUCUGCUCGUUGCUGCGAUGAUUCAUGAUAACUGGAUGGAUCACACGACCAUCGUACCGGCAAUGCAUCAUUCAAAUUUCUGCCCAAUCAACUUUCGAUGGUAGGAUAGUAGCCUACCAUGGUGGUGACGGGUUACGGAGAAUUAGGGUUCGAUUCUGGAGAGGGAGCCUGAGAAAUGGAUACCACAUCUAAGGCAGCAGGCGCACAAAUUACCCAAUCCUGACACGGGGAGGUAGGGACAAUAAAUAACAAUACCGGGCUCUAUGAGUCGGGUAAUUGGAAUGAGUACAAUCUAAAUUCCUUAACGAGGAUCCAUUGGAGGGUAAGUUUGGUGCCAGCAGCCGCAGUAAUUCAAGCUCCAAUAGCAUAUAUUUAAGUUGUUGCAGUUAAAAGGCUCGUAGUUGGACUUUGGGAUGGGCCGGCCGGUCCACUUUAGGUGUGCACCGGUCGUCUCGUCCCUUCUGCCGGUGAUGCGCUCCUGGACUUAAUUGGUCAGGUCGUGCCUCCGGUGCUAUUACUUUGAAGAAAUUAGAAUACUCAAAGCAAGCCUAUGCUCUGUAUACAUUAGCAUGGGAUAACAAUAUAGGAUUUCAGUCCUAUUAAAUUGGCCUUUGAGAUCAGAGUAAUUAUUAACAGGGACAGUCGGGGGCAUUCGUAUUUCAUAGUAAGAGGUGAAAUUCUUAGAUUUAUGAAAAGUGGAUAAGUGCGAAAGAGUUUGCCAAGGAUAUUUUCAUAAAUCAAGAACGAAAGGUGGGGGCUCGAAGACGAUCAGAUACCGUCCUAGUCACAACCAUAAACAAUGCCGACCAGGGAUCGACGGAUGUUGCUUUUAGGACUCCGCCAGCACCUUAUGAGAAAUCAAAGUUUUUGGGUUCCUGGGGGAGUAUGGUCACAAGGCUGAAACUUAAAGGAAUUGACAGAAGGGCACCACCAGGAGUGGAGCCUGCGAAUUAAUUUGACUUAACACGGGGAAACUUACCAGCUCCAAACAUAGUAAGGAUUGACAGACUGAGAGCUCUUUCUUGAUUCUAUGGGUGGUGGUGCAUGGCCGUUCUUAGUUGGUGAAGUGAUUUUUAUUGUUAAUUCCAUUAACGAACAAGACCUCAGCCUUCUAACUAGCUAUGCGGAGGUAUCCCUUCGCGGCUGGCUUCUUAGAGGGAGUACGGCCUUUUAGGCCGCGGAAGUUUGAGGCAAUAAUAGGUCUAUGAUGCCCUUAGAUGUUCUGGGACACAUGCGCACUACACUGAUGUAUUCACCGAGUUUAUAGCCUUGGCCGAUAGGCCCUUGUAAUCUUUGAAAUUUCAUCGUGAUGGGAAUAGAUCAUUGCAAUUGUUGGUCUUCAACGAGGAACUCCUAGUAAGCGCGAGUCAUCAGCUCGCAUUGACUAUGUCCUUACCCUUUGUACACACCGCUCGUUGAUCCUACCGAAUGAAUGAUCCAGUGAAACAUUCGGAUCGCGGUGGUUCCCCUAGUAAAACAUUCGGAUCGUGGUGGUUCCCCUAGAAGUCGUUGCUCCUACCGAUUGAAUGAUUCCCCUAGUAACAAUUAGCGAACUGGGAACAACC
rfam:Nicotiana sylvestris Nsyl_contig105394, whole genome shotgun sequence.